UAACGCGUGGGUAACCUGCCCUGUACAGGGGGAGUAACAGUCAGAAAUGACUGCUAAUACCGCNUAAGACCACAGCACCACAUGGUGCAGGGGUAAAAACUACCGGUGGUACAGGAUGGACCCGCGUCUGAUUAGCUGGUUGGUGAGGUAACGGCUCACCAAGGCGACGAUCAGUAGCCGGCUUGAGAGAGUGAACGGCCACAUUGGGACUGAGACACGGCCCAAACUCCUACGGGAGGCAGCAUG
rnacentral:rRNA from 1 species